AACAAGAUCAACUCUAGUUGAGAGUUGGGAGUGGCCUUAUGUGCGUGCUUUGCGGUGCAUUUGGCUUGAACUGAUCGAGUUGAUGAGCUUCCCAGCGCGGUUCAAUGUGUGCUAGCGAGACAGUCGUCCCGAUCUCACAUUUCCGCUGCGUUGCAGAGUUCUGACCACAGCUCGCUAAAUUUCAACAUAUCAU
rnacentral:misc_RNA from 1 species